GGGGAUGACGGGCCUCGAGGAAGAGUGAACGGUCAUGCGCUCAGGCGGAGCACGCGGGGUUAUCUCCGAAAAAUACCCCCGCAACGAAAUAAGUGCAAACUUACUUUCUAAGGUAAGGACCGGAUUUGCCGGCCUUGUUCCUUCCUACGCUUAACAAAAAGCAUAGGCAUCCGAACUUCAGAUUCUCGCUAAGAAGCUAGGGUGUUAUAUCAGCGAGACGAUGCCGAAAGCCGUUCCGAGUCGGCAUUGUAAAAGGAGCAAAAAUUUUAAAAGCUUGUCAACCGCGGACCGCGACCUCAUCCAACGUGGGUUCAACUCCCACCAUCUCCACUA
rnacentral:tmRNA from 2 species